GGGAAGUUGGCUCAGUGGUAGAGUACUUGCCUUGCAUGCAUGAGGCCCUAGGUUCAAUUCCUCAGCACCACA
rnacentral:tRNA from 1 species